ACUUUUUUUGGGGGGGGAAGGAGGAAGGAAAAAAAAUGUAUAAAAAAAAUAUUCUUAUUUUUACACAAUUUUACACCACUUUGGUUUUGCUGUUAUUUCCACUUUGCCACUAGUUUUUUUUCGAAUUUGAAUUUGAAUGUCGCACACGUGCGUGCAAGCGGGACGAACAACACAGGCACACACUCAACACACGGCACACGAAAUGAAUACAAAAAUUGUGUUUCAAAAUUUUGUUGUUUUGUUAGGGGUUGCUCUGGGGACUAUUCUGGCCGUCCUGUCCUCCGCACCCACCCGCAGCCCGCAGCCAGCAGGAUGUUUAAAGGAAAACAGAAGCUGAUUGCCAAAGCGAAAUGCGCAAAAAAAAAAGAAAAGAGAACGGAAAACGAAAAUGAAAACACGGCGCAAACGCGAGACAAAAAAGAGAUGCCUCUGCCAGCAACGGCGUUCUUUCUUUAGAUUCGUAUUGGAAUUCAAAGCAGUCGAAUAUUUGGCGGACGACAGAGGCGACAAAGGAGAGUACUGUUUCGCUCUCUCUCUCUCAGUCGCUCUCUCAUAAAUCACAGCCGACAGACAGCCUCCUGCUCCUCAUCUGGCGCACACAUUUAUUUGAUACUCCUUGAUUUUAUUGUAUUUCCAAGGAGGAAGAAGAGGACGAAAAACAACAGCAAGAAGAGCAAGAAGGAGCAGAGCAAAGCAGACACGCAGAUAGCCGCCACAGCUGAGUGCACGCCUCUGCUCUGUCGGUGUGUGGGUGAGAGAGAAGUCUGCUGGCGCUGGGUGCUCUGCUGGAUGCUGGCUGCUGGGUGCUGGGAUGCUGCGGGACGGCAGCGGCAGCAGCAGCAGAAGUAAACGUGAGAGCGAGAGUGAGAAAAAUCGAAUGAACUGAGUACGAAGGCAGCGAGCAAAAAGGAUUACAGGAUAAAGCAGCGGAGAAGCAGCAGCAGGCGCAAAAUUCAAUUCAGUGAAAGACAGAGGCGGCAACAAAAACAUGUGCGCCGUUGAAUGAAAUGCGGGAUGCUGUUGCGAAGAGAGUGAGAGCGAGAGCGGGAGCGGCAGG